AUUGAACGCUGGCGGAAUGCUUUACACAUGCAAGUCGAACGGUAGAGGGGGCAACCCCUUGAGAGUGGCGAACGGGUGAGUAAUAUAUCGGAACGUGCCCAGUCGUGGGGAUAACGUAGCGAAAGUUACGCUAAUACCGCAUACGAUCUAAGGAUGAAAGCGGGGGAUCGCAAGACCUCGCGCGAUUGGAGCGGCCGAUAUCAGAUUAGGUAGUUGGUGAGGUAAAGGCUCACCAAGCCGACGAUCUGUAGCUGGUCUGAGAGGACGACCAGCCACACUGGGACUGAGACACGGCCCAGACUCCUACGGGAGGCAGCAGUGGGGAAUUUUGGACAAUGGGCGCAAGCCUGAUCCAGCAAUGCGCGUGCAGGAUGAAGGCC
rnacentral:rRNA from 1 species